UAUGUAGGGGGCAAGCGUUGUCCGGAAUCAUUGGGCGUAAAGAGCGUGUAGGCGGUCCGGUAAGUCGGCUGUGAAAGUCCAGGGCUCAACCCUGGGAUGCCGGUCGAUACUGCCGGACUAGAGUUCGGAAGAGGCGAGUGGAAUUCCCGGUGUAGCGGUGAAAUGCGCAGAUAUCAGGAGGAACACCGGUGGCGAAGGCGGGUCUCUGGGCCGAUUCUGACGCUGAGGAGCGAAAGCGUGGGGAGCGAACAGG
rnacentral:rRNA from 1 species